rnacentral:rRNA from 1 species
AUACGGAGAAUCCGAGCGUUAUCCGGAUUUAUUGGGUUUAAAGGGUGCGCAGGCGGCCAUUUAAGUCAGCGGUUAAAUCGUGGGGCUCAACCCCAUUCUGCCGUUGAUACUGGGUGGCUUGAUUGCGGUCGAGGUUGGCGGAAUUCGUUGUGAAGCGGUGAAAUGCAUAGAUAUGACGAAGAACACCGAUUGCGUAGGCAGCUGACCAGACCGCAAAUGACGCUCAUGCACGAAAGUGCGGGGAUCGAACAGGAUUAGAUACCCUGGUAGUCCGCACAGUAAACGAUGAAUACUUGUUUUCGGCGAUAUAAUGUCGGAGGCAAAGCGAAAGCGAUAAGUAUUCCACCUGGGGAGUACGCCGGCAACGGUGAAACUCAAAUGAAUUGACGGG